AUUUGAAAGGAAUAAGUUGUGUACUUAAGAUAUUCGAUUAACUAUGGGAACGGACUGGCUUUCAACAGUCAACAAAAACAAAAUUGAUUUGGCAGCCUGUCCACACCGAACAAAAUCUGUCGAAAAACGGGAAUUGGACAAAACAAUUUAAGGCACUCGGAAGGAUGGAUGCAGUUCCCGGACGAAAGGCAC